CUUAAUUUUAAUUACAAAAUGUAAUUUUCUUUCAGUGUUUAUUCGCGAUCUCCACUAUCUUCAUUCUCUACAAUUCUGUAUUUUUGGACGCGCUUUUUUCCCUCUCAAAGCGGAAUAGCUUCUGUUCGAAUCGUGGAAAAUGGAAACAGGAACAGAAGCGGAAACGUGAAACACAACAGGUUCAAAUCGAGGAAAAUUGCUUAUCGUGAAAAGGAAAAAAACGCCAAAACGUGCUUAUUUCGGAAGCAAUUCUCAAACGCGAUUCCAGAAUUAUCAGCACAAGUUUGAUGUUUUGAUUUUUCCGAUUUUGGUUUUAAGCUACAGUGUUUUGGUUGUGGUUGACGAAUUGAUGGAGAAUUGGUUCCAGAUUUGUCGUUUUGCGCUAUGCCCACCGAACGUUAUGUGAAGGGGAAGUAGUCAACUACUUGCAGUAAGUAAUAGCAGGGAGCAUAACUAAUCUGAUGCACAAAAAUAAAUCUACAUUUGUAGGCUGAUGCUAGACAUGGGGAGAUACUGGGUCAGCUUCUCUAUGAAUUUUCAGAAUGUUUUGUGCAAGUGUGCUCUUACGAGGAGUGUCAAACCUUGUAUCUGAUUAGCUCUAUUGUAUGCUUAUUUUUUCUUCUUCUUCAGGCCCUCUAAUUGGAGAAAAAAGAGGAUUCAUUUUCACGACUUCAUGUUGAAUGU